rnacentral:rRNA from 1 species
CUGCCCUUUGUACACACCGCCCGUCGCACCUACCGAUUGGAUGGUCCGGUGAAGCCUCGGGAUUGUGACUGGUGCCUUUAUUGGUGUUGGUCGCGAGAACUUGUCUAAACCUUAUCAUCUAGAGGAAGGUGAAGUCGUAACAAGGUUU